GGGAAAAGUUGAUCCUCAGCCCGGGGAGUUCUGGAAUCCCGUGCACAAAACGUGAAAAGAAAGGAAGUCGGCAUCUCACCAAAAGUUUCCAUCCAUGAAGUGCCUUUAAUUAUCCUUCUGUGGGAGUUGAUCUGGCAGAAGGAAGAAAACAAGUUCAGAAAUCUUCUAAGGCCGACCUGGGUAUUCUUUUAAAUGGCUUGGGUUCUUCCUGGAGUGGAAUAGUUGAAAUGCUCAUCUCAGAAGAGAUUUCUCAUGAUGGCAUUCUUUGUCAAACCGUGAGACAGCUUGAUAAAGAGUCUUCACCAACAUGGCCUCUGCAUAUUUCAUAUCCUCCAAGUGUCCUGAUUUUCUGGUGCUGGAAUCACAAAAGCAAUCCUGGCUUCUGAUUUGAUCCCAGAAGGUCCCGAUUUCCCCUGCUAGUGCUGCUGCUGCUGAGCUUGGGGGGAAAGGAUGAGCCAUCCCAAACUGCGACUGUGAGGGAGCACCCCUUUGCCUCUCCUGGUGCUGCCGCCUCCUCCCCAUGGCAGCUCCUAGUGGCUGCCAGAGAGUGGACGAGGAGGAGGAGGAGAGGUGGCCACUGCCCCUGAGACCCAGCCCCACAUGACACACUGGCUCUGAGAAGGCAGAAGGCAGGGCCACCCUGGGCAGGAAGAAAGGGGGAGAAGAGCACAAGGCUUGAUGAUGAUGAUGAUGAUGAUGAUGAUGAUGAUGAUGAUGAUUAUUAUGCUUUUUGCACCUGCGUCUCCAAUCUUGGCCCUUUCCAAAAUUUAUUUAUGGUGUGUGUUUUUCUUUUUGUAAAUCUACCAAAGAAUAAAAUAAAAUUGGGAUUAAGUGGUUUUCUCA